rnacentral:tRNA from 1 species
GCACCCGUAGCUCAAUUGGAUAGAGCAUCUGACUACGAAUCAGAAGGUUGGGAGUUCGAGUCUCUCCGGGUGCGCCA